GACGAACGCUGGCGGCGUGCUUAACACAUGCAAGUCGAACGGAAAGGCCCUGCUUUUGUGGGGUGCUCGAGUGGCGAACGGGUGAGUAACACGUGAGUAACCUGCCCUUGACUUUGGGAUAACUUCAGGAAACUGGGGCUAAUACCGGAUAGGAGCUCCUGCUGCAUGGUGGGGGUUGGAAAGUUUCGGCGGUUGGGGAUGGACUCGCGGCUUAUCAGCUUGUUGGUGGGGUAGUGGCUUACCAAGGCUUUGACGGGUAGCCGGCCUGAGAGGGUGACCGGCCACAUUGGGACUGAGAUACGGACCAGACUCCUACGGGAGGCAGCAGUGGGGAAUCUUGCACAAUGGGCGGAAGCCUGAUGCAGCAACGCCGGGUGCGGGAUGACGGCCUUCGGGUUGUAAACCGCUUUCGCCUGUGGCGAAGCGUGAGUGACGGUAAUGGGUAAAGAAGCACCGGCUAACUACGUG
rnacentral:rRNA from 1 species